UACACUCCUACGGGAGGCAGCAGUGGGGAAUAUUGGACAAUGGGCGCAAGCCUGAUCCAGCCAUGCCGCGUGAGUGAUGAAGGCCCUAGGGUUGUAAAGCUCUUUUGUGCGGGAAGAUAAUGACGGUACCGCAAGAAUAAGCCCCGGCUAACUUCGUGCCAGCAGCCGCGGUAAUACGAAGGGGGCUAGCGUUGCUCGGAAUCACUGGGCGUAAAGGGUGCGUAGGCGGGUCUUUAAGUCAGGGGUGAAAUCCUGGAGCUCAACUCCAGAACUGCCUUUGAUACUGAAGAUCUUGAGUUCGGGAGAGGUGAGUGGAACUGCGAGUGUAGAGGUGAAAUUCGUAGAUAUUCGCAAGAACACCAGUGGCGAAGGCGGCUCACUGGCCCGAUACUGACGCUGAGGCACGAAAGCGUGGGGAGCAAACAGGAUUAGAUACCCCAGUAGUCCCAUG
rnacentral:rRNA from 1 species